rnacentral:tRNA from 1 species
GGGGGUGUGGCUCAGUGGUAGAGUGCUGGCCUAGCAUGCUUGAGGGCCUGGGCUCUACUCCCCACACCACUA